rnacentral:rRNA from 1 species
UAAUACGUAGGGAGCAAGCGUUGUCCGGAAUCAUUGGGCGUAAAGCGCGCGUAGGUGGCCACAUAAGUCCGUUGUGAAAGUCAAAGGCUCAACCUUUGAAAGCCGAUGGAUACUGUGUGGCUAGAGUACGGAAGAGGCGAGUGGAAUUCCUGGUGUAGCGGUGGAAUGCGCAGAUAUCAGGAGGAACACCAAUAGCGAAGGCAGCUCGCUGGGACGUUACUGACACUGAGGCGCGAAAGCGUGGGGAGCGAACAGGAUUAGAUACCCUGGUAGUCCACGCCGUAAACGAUGGGUACUAGGUGUGGGAGGUGUCGACUCCUCCCGUGCCGUCGCUAACGCACUAAGUACCCCGCCUGGGGAGUACGGCCGCAAGGCUA